CCAAGGAGUUUAACAUGUGCGCGAGUCACUCGGUCUUGAAUAGGCCAGAGAGGCGCAAUGAAAGUAAAGUUGAUUGAGUUACGAUCCUCAUCCACGUCUUCGGACGGUGGGGCGCAGUAACAGCCCGCCAAUUUCGCUUUUUGACGAUAUGGCGGAGUUAUAGCGUACACGUUGGUACCCGAAAGAUGGUGAACUAUGCCUGGGCAAGACGAAGCCAGAGGAAACUCUGGUGGAGGUCUGUAGCGAUUCUGACGUGCAAAUCGAUCGUCCGACCUGGGUAUAGGGGCGAAAGACUAAUCGAACCAUC
rnacentral:rRNA from 1 species